CCUACGGGAGGCAGCAGUGGGGAAUAUUGCACAAUGGGGGAAACCCUGAUGCAGCGACGCCGCGUGAGUGAAGAAGUAUUUCGGUAUGUAAAGCUCUAUCAGCAGGGAAGAAGCAAGACGGGACCUGACUAAAAAGCCCCGGCUAACUACGUGCCAGCAGCCGCGGGAAUACGUGGGGGGCAAGCGUUAUCCGGAUUUACUGGGUGUAAAGGGAGCGUAGACGGUAUGGCAAGUCUGAAGUGAAAGCCCAGGGCUUAACCCUGGGACUGCUUUGGAAACUGUUAGACUAGAGUGCUGGAGAGGUAAGUGGAAUUCCUAGUGUAGCGGUGAAAUGCGUAGAUAUUAGGAGGAACACCAGUGGCGAAGGCGGCUUACUGGACAGUAACUGACGUUGAGGCUCGAAAGCGUGGGGAGCAAACAGGAUUAGAUACCCCAGUAGUC
rnacentral:rRNA from 1 species